UUCAAGUUUUACCUUAUUGCCUACUAAUCCGACAGGGCAACUAUGACACACUGCUUAGAUCGCCUUUGUUCCCGAAGUAAAUGUAUAGGUAUAUCUUUCUAGCAAACAACGGUGCAACACUCCAAGGCUGAAUGGAUCUGGAUAAUCAGACACUUUUCAAGAAAAGAUUAUGAUCCGGCUUUGACAGCUCGAUUUAUACUGUGGCACGUUUUAACCUGCAGCGCUGUAAGCUUCUAUAUCUGCGCACGAGACGAUGUAACUGUCAAACGUGUAUAAACAAGCCGACCUAACCUAACAUGACGCGGCCGCCAAUCGCCAUGGCCGACUAUGAUGGCCAUUCUGCGCACGAAUUACGAAAGAAACGAAAUCAAAAUAACUUCCUACAUGCAACAGCGCACUUGACGUACAUCAUUUCCGCAUAAACGGCUCUUCGACCUUCGCAGAAAAGGCCAGUCGGAAAUAUAACUAUAAGCCGUAUCCCGAUACGCAGAAAAGCGACACCGGGAAUCAGAGCCAGGUGCCCGGCUGCUCCGAAUCGUCGCAGUAAAAAGAGAGGAGAAAAGCGUCGCUGCCAA
rnacentral:lncRNA from 1 species